rnacentral:rRNA from 1 species
GACGAACGCUGGAGGCGUGCUUAACACAUGCAAGUCGAACGAUGAAAUGGAGCUUGCUCCAUGGAUUAGUGGCGAACGGGUGAGUAACACGUGAAUAACCUGCCCUUAAUUUUGGAAUAACCCAGCGAAACCUGGGCUAAUACCGGAUAAGUAAACCUGUGGCAGCACAUGGUUUUGGAAAGUUUUUCGAUUAAGGAUGGAUUCGCGGCCUAUCAGCUUGGUGGUGAGAUAAUGGCUAACCAAGGCGACGACGGGUAGCCGGCCUGAGAGGGUGAACGGCCACACUGGGACUGAGACACGGCCCAGACUCCUACGGGAGGCAGCAGUGGGGAAUAUUGCGCAAUGGACGAAAGUCUGACGCAGCGACGCCUCGUGAGGGACGAAGGUCUUCGGAUUGUAAACCUCUUUCAGCAGGGACGAAGCGAAAGUGACGGUACCUGCAGAAGAAGCACCGGCUAACUAUGUGCCAGCCGCCGCAGUAA